CCAGCCAGGAGGGCUGGGAUUCACAGCGAGCAUGUGUGUCUGCCCAGGUUUGGGCUGUUUUCUGGGAUGGACACUACCUGGAAUUCAUCACUUGUCCCUAACAUGACUGAAGGCGGGAACUCAAGAGGAAACGGCAUUCCAGCACUCUACCUAACCCUGAAUUCCGGUCAGAAGCAGAAACAGCAGUGAAUAGAAGCAAGUCUGCAGAGUGUCAUGCUGUAUAAAAUCUCCGGGAGAGGACACCAUACACACACCAUGAAGAGAGGCCUUGGAAGAAACUGUCGAGUGAGCACCUGGUCUAAGACUCAAGGCUGGAACCUAUAGAAGGUUAAAGACCAACUAUUCACACCACCCACCCUCAGCCAACACAUGAAGAACAAGGAUGGCAGGACCUGCACCAGUGACCUAAUGAAAGACACCAAGGGAAAAUUAAAGGAAAGGAAUGGUCUGGACCAAUUCUGGAUGUUAAGAAGCCCAAGCCCGAAGCAAAAAAGGAAUAUGGACCUGGACCUAUACAUAACCUUUGAAGUGGCCUGGGACCAUAGAAGAAGAGAUGUGGGACCGCCUUGACCUGGAGUCUCUGUGAAAGCUGCCGUCUUCUCUCCGGUGGAGGGCCU